rnacentral:rRNA from 1 species
CCCUUAGAUGUCCUGGGCCGCACGCGCGCUACACUGAUGCAUGCAACGAGUUUAUAACCUUGGCCUGAAAGGUCUGGGUAAUCUUUUGAACGUGCAUCGUGAUAGGGAUAGAUUAUUGCAAUUGUUAAUCUUGAACGAGGAAUUCCUAGUAAACGCGAGUCAUCAGCUCGCAUUGAUUACGUCCCUGCCCUUUGUACACACCGCCCGUCGCACCUACCGAUUGAAUGGUUCGGUGAAGAUCUCGGACUUCGAUAUUUAUUCUUUAUUGAGUUUAUAUUGUGGGAAGUUAUCUAAACCUCAUCAUUUAGAGGAAGGUGAAGUCGUANCA